UACGUAGGGUGCGAGCGUUAAUCGGAAUUACUGGGCGUAAAGCGUGCGCAGGCGGUUUUGUAAGCCAGAUGUGAAAUCCCCGGGCUCAACCUGGGAAUGGCAUUUGUGACUGCACGGCUGGAGUGCGGCAGAGGGGGAUGGAAUUCCGCGUGUAGCAGUGAAAUGCGUAGAUAUGCGGAGGAACACCGAUGGCGAAGGCAAUCCCCUGGGCCUGCACUGACGCUCAUGCACGAAAGCGUGGGGAGCAAACAGG
rnacentral:rRNA from 1 species